CUGAGCUUCCUGGGGCCCGAACCAGGAUGUCUGCCGCUGCAUUCAGCUUCUUACUAGAAGAAAAUACUGUCGGGGGGAUAACUAAGCCAGACACCCUACUAGGCGUUGUUUCAUGAAUCCUUCUAAGAAUUAUUAUUAUUCCAUUUUACAGGUGAGAAAAUGAAGGCACAGAGAAGACAAUGUUCUCAAGGUCGCAUAACUGGUCUUUGGAUCAACUCUUUCAACCAAUUGCCAGUUGGAAAAUCUUUGAAUUCACCUAUGACCUGGAAGCUCCUAGUUUGAGUUGUCCUGCUUUUCCGGACCAAAACAAUGUACGUCUUACAUGUAUUGACUGAUGUCUUCUGUCUCCCUAAAACAUAUGAAACCAAGUCGUGUCCUGAACUACUUUGGGCACAUGCUCUCAGGAUCUCCUGAGGCUGUGUCAUGGACAUGUCCCUAACCUUGGC
rnacentral:lncRNA from 10 species